GUCGAUGGACCGAUUGAUAUUUGC
rnacentral:siRNA from 1 species